GAUGAACGCUGGCGGCGUGCUUAACACAUGCAAGUCGAACGGGAUCCAGGCAGCUUGCUGCCUGGUGAGAGUGGCGAACGGGUGAGUAAUGCGUGACCGACCUGCCCCAUACACCGGAAUAGCUCCUGGAAACGGGUGGUAAUGCCGGAUGCUCCGACUCCUCGCAUGGGGUGUCGGGAAAGAUUUCAUCGGUAUGGGAUGGGGUCGCGUCCUAUCAGGUAGUCGGCGGGGUAACGGCCCACCGAGCCUACGACGGGUAGCCGGCCUGAGAGGGCGACCGGCCACAUUGGGACUGAGAUACGGCCCAGACUCCUACGGGAGGCAGCAGUGGGGAAUAUUGCACAAUGGGCGCAAGCCUGAUGCAGCGACGCCGCGUGCGGGAUGACGGCCUUCGGGUUGUAAACCGCUUUUGAUCGGGAGCAAGCCUUCGGGUGAGUGUACC
rnacentral:rRNA from 1 species